GAGCAAAUGAUGAUUUAUAUUCAUUAGAGCUGAUUAUUCCGUGAAGUUUACUAAUUCGAGCUUUUUAAAACUGAUGCUCA